rnacentral:rRNA from 1 species
AUUGAACGCUGGCGGCAGGCCUAACACAUGCAAGUCGGACGGUAGCACAGAGAGCUUGCUCUUGGGUAACAAGCGCAGGACGGGUCGGAAUAACCUGGGGCUUAACCCGAGCGGGGGGAAAACCCCCUGGAAACGCUGCCUAAUCCCCCCUAACGGCCCAGGCCUAAGGAGGGGGCCUGUCGCGCCCCUCACUACCGGAGGACCCCAGAUGGGAUUAGCGAGUAGGCGGGGUAAGGGCCCACAUAGGCGACGAGCCCUAGCUGGUCUGAGAGGAUGGCCAGCCACACUGGAACUGAGAGACGGUCCAGACACCUACGGGGGUCAGCAGGGGGGAAUAUUGCACAAUGGGCGCAAGCCUGAUGCAGCCAUGCCGGGUGUAUGAAGAAGGCCUUCGGGUUGUAAAGUACUUUCAGCGGGGAGGAAGGCGGUGGGGUUAAUAACCGUACCGAUUGACGUUACCCGCAGAAGAAGCACCGGCUAACUCCGUGCCAGCAGCCGCCGUAA